AUUGAACGCUGGCGGCAUGCUUUACACAUGCAAGUCGAACGGCAGCGCGGGCUUCGGCCUGGCGGCGAGUGGCGAACGGGUGAGUAAUACAUCGGAACGUGCCCAGUAGUGGGGGAUAGCUCGGCGAAAGCCGGAUUAAUACCGCAUACGACCUGAGGGUGAAAGCGGGGGAUCUUCGGACCUCGCGCUAUUGGAGGGGCCUAUGGCAGAUUAGCUAGUUGGUGGGGUAAAGGCCUACCAAGGCGACGAUCUGUAGCUGGUCUGAGAGGACGACCAGCCACACUGGGACUGAGACACGGCCCAGACUCCUACGGGAGGCAGCAGUGGGGAAUUUUGGACAAUGGGCGAAAGCCUGAUCCAGCAAUGCCGCGUGUGUGAUGAAGGCCUUCGGGUUGUAAAGCACUUUUGGCGGGAACGAAAAGGACUGUGCCAAUACCACGGUUCGAUGACGGUACCCGCAGAAUAAGCACCGGCUAACUACGUG
rnacentral:rRNA from 1 species